GACGAACGCUGGCGGCGUGCUUAACACAUGCAAGUCGAACGAGAUUCUAGCGAGUCAAUCAAUUCGUUGAAAGACAUGCUAGAUGAAAGUGGCGGAUGGGUGAGUAACGCGUGAGAAACCUGCCUUUCACAAAGGGAUAGCCUCGGGGAAACUGGGAUUAAUACCUUAUGAUACUUACAUUUCACAUGAGAAGUAAGUUAAAGCGCAAAGCGGUGAAAGAUGGUCUCGCGUCCCCAUUAGUUAGUUGGUGAGGUAACGGCUCACCAAGACCGCGAUGGGUAGCCGGCCUGAGAGGGUGAACGGGCCACACUGGAACUGAGACACGGUCCAGACUCCUACGGGAGGCAGCAGUGGGGAACAUUGCACAAUGGAG
rnacentral:rRNA from 1 species